AGGUUAUAUUGGAUAAAUAUAGGUUUUGAAAACCUACUAUAAGUGUUCGAUUCACUUAUAACCUU
rnacentral:tRNA from 1 species